GCGAACAAAAUGCUCUGUGUAAUUUUUCAUGACCCCCAUCACAUCUCUACUGCAUCCCAAGCGCUACAGCUGGGACCUUGUCAGUAGAUUGGGGCAGGGUCUGGGGCCUAGGGAGGCGAAGUGUAUACCAUUCAAAAUCGUAGCAGAUUGAGCUGUUGAGCCCAAGAGAAAAAUGGAGAAGGAAAAGGAGAUGGAGAUGGAGAAGCAGCAACCAGCAUGACAACUGAGCCUCUGCUGCCUUUAUCACUUCUCCUCGCUGUAUAUGCCACUUUUUUAUAUUACUUGGCAAAUAUCGAUAAGAGACAGUAAGAGAGAGAGAGAGAGAUGGAGAGAGAGAGGGGUCCCAGUAGCCCAUCUCCCUUGCUGUCACUCUGUCUGUCGCUUCCACUUUGCCUUUUGCAAUAUUUGGCGACAGUAAAUGUUUGCUAAAUAUCCUCAGUAAAUACUUGGCAGCUUAUACUUGGAUUCGUAUUCCCUUUCCUUCCUAAUAUAUACACAUAAAUAUCAAAGUACAGUAAGGAUUCGCCCGUUCUUUGUGGUAUUGAGCCUGGUCUUUGUGCUGGAGUGUCCACUGUACUUCAGAGCUCCCAACUGAGCGACUCCGCUGAGCAAGGAAGUCUGGCAUAAUUUGUGCCUCCUGAAAUUCGCUUUCGAUCAUUUUCAAGUCGUAAAUCUGGAGAGCGGGUAUUUUAUGGUCGGUAUAGUGGAGUUUCUGCUGGUUUUUUAUGAUACUAUAUGCUGUAGAACGGCAAAAACAACAGCAAUACAAGAGUGCUAGUAGAUUCUAAAAAAGCACAUCUUAUACGAGUACGAGACUUUGAUAGAGAGACUUUAAGCUAAUUUCUGGUUAACUCAAUCACAGUUUUGCCCCAUCACUGCUUGUGGCAGCCAGAAUUCACCCACAGAAAGACUGAAGCAGAGUAAAAGAGAGAGGUAAAGAUACAGAGACAGAGAAAGCGAUGUGUACAGAGCGACAGACUGUGAGAGAGAGAGACGAAGAUGGUGCGAUGGAGCUGGAGCUGGAGGCAGCAGCAGAUCUCCCAGCCACUGUCCGGAUACCACUCUGCAUAUAAGCCAGGAAUCCCGGCCAGAAAUGGAACUCAUUGGACCAGCAGUAGCAGCAGCCCCCCCUAUAGAAGAGACCUAAAGCAAACACCACAAAUUAGUCGGCAUAAGACACGAACCGUCCGACCAGUGAGAGAUCCUUACUCGAAGGCUACUCGCAUUGAACUAAUUCACCAGAUAUUGAAAGAGUCGUAAAAUUGUGAAAUAACAAAAACAAAAGACACUCUUUGUUUUUUUUGCUCUUCUUUCUAGAGUCUCAUCUUUAUACCCUAGUCGAAGGUACUUCAAUUAUGGCCAAAAGUUUGUCACGAAAAAAGCAAAGAAUUUCCGAAAAAACUUGAUCCAUUUAUUUUUGAGUUAUCUAAAUUAUUCUCUGUUUCAAAUUUUGAAUAAAAUUACCUACCUGGAUGAUGCACAUCUGAA